rnacentral:tRNA from 1 species
CGGGGUGGAGCAGCCUGGUAGCUCGUCGGGCUCAUAACCCGAAGGUCGUCGGUUCGAAUCCGGCCCCCGCAACCA